GAGCAGGCUGCGACCCCCACACCUGCUCGCCAUUCUUUUCCUGCCAAGCAGCCUCUUAGCAACGGCUCCUAGAAACGCCUAGGUCCAAAGGAGCCGGCCGAGGCAGCGUGGAGAAAAAGGCUGCCUGGGCUCAGUGCAGGCGGCAUCUUCCGCACCAGGCGGGGGACAGGCAGCUUCGCACAACUGAGCAUCCCUGAGCCCGGCAGCCUCUCAGCAUCUUGCACUGGCAGGGCCGGGUGAAGCUCCCUGGAGGAGAGGCUGACUGGCAUCCAGGGGGCACUGAUAAAAUGGCAGCCCCUGUUCUUGGUUCUCUUAGGCUCACAGGCUCCAAAUGGCCUUUGUCUGUGUCCUCGCAGCCUGCGCCAGUGCAGAGAGAGAAAUGGGCAUCCCACCAGCUGCCGGGGACUCAGGAGUGGAGGCAGAGGCGGAAGCAGAGACUCCAGUUGGUGGAGGCAGCAGAAACCACAUUGCUCAGCUUCCUGGGAGGGAAAGGGGACAUCUGGCAACGUCUGGAGUCGUUCUUGGCAUCUAGUGGAUAGAGGCCAGGAUGCCACUAAACAGCCUCCAAUGCACAGGACAGCCUCCACGACGAACAUUCAGCCUGAAACGUCCAUAGUGUCAAGACUGAAAAGCGCUGCACCAGGAUGACAUCAGUAAAAGUCCUUCAUGCCCCACAAAAUGAGAAAAAAGAAAGAGGGGCUGGCUAGCAGGGUGUGGAGAGAGAAACUUAGAUAUUUGUUCUUAACGUCACUGACUUUUCAGUGUCACUAUUCCCAGUGGUAUUUUCUUUUAACCCUUUCAUUACACCAUCAGUUGCCUCAAUUUAUUCGAGCUAGUCUUAUUAGUCAGAUUUGAAUGAUGAAAUAUCACACCCAUAAAAGGCAUUUCAGGUUUAGCUAGUUAUUAUCAAAUGAGAAUAUGCAUCUACCCAAUAACUAGGCAUAUAAAACACUGAAGAAGCAUGGCUAAUUAGCAACUGGAGUCUGAGAUGUAAACAGGAUGUGGGGGACUAAAAGGAAAUUAACAUGACUUCAGAAUUUAUGGGGUUAGGGAUUUCGGGUUUAUCUACAAAGGUGGUCUCUCUCAUUUCUCCUCUUUGGUUUGAAUUGUUUUGGACAGACAAGAGAAGAGGAAUGACCCACUUCUGGUUGUGAAUGUGUGGCGGCCCCGUUUUAGGUAUGAUUCUGCUAUGUCUCUGGUCUGCUGCUCUCUUAUUAGUGUUAUGAGCAGAACUCUUCCCCCCAGAAUUCACAUGUUGAAGUCCUAACUUCCAGUACCUGGAAAUCAGGCCACUGCAAAUAGAAUUACUUAAGAUGAGGGAAUACUGGAAAAGGUUGGGCCCCAAUCCAGUAAGAUUGGUAUCCUUCUAAACGGGGCGAAUUUGGAUACCGACACACUCAGGAAAAACGCCUUGUGAACAAAAAGGCAGAGACUGUGGUGAUGCAUCCGGAAGUUCAGAAACACCAAAGAAUGUUCCAGCAAACCACCAGAAACUAGGAAACAGAGAACAGAUUUUCCCUCCCAGCCCUCAGAAGGAAUCAGCCCUUGAUCUCACGCUCCAGCCUCCAGGCCUGUAAGGCACUAGUGUCUGUUGUUGAAGCCACUCAGUCUGUGGUCUUUGUUAUUGUUACUUUAGCCCUCUUAAACCGUCAUGUAGACAGGAAUUCAAGCAAUGGAAGGCAGACAGACCAUUCUUGAUGGUCAUCCUCCACCCACUCCCUCCCUCACCCGAUUGCUCAUGAAGAUUACUCAGCUUAGGCAGUGAAAGCCUCUACCCUAUCUCCUCUCUAUCAGGUAAAAGCAAGGUAGCAAGGCAGUAUAAGAGCCCUCAUUUCCUUAUCAUUUCCUUAUGCCCCAGGCAAGGUUUCUGAAUGUUUGCCGCAUAGCUGAGUCAAAAACCCUUUCCUUAAAAUAUCCGAAGAGUGUGGGAAAUAAUCAAGGCUGCUUACUUUGGUUCCUUCUACUCAAUAGGUUUGGGGCCUGGCACUUACAUACCUUUCACAUGUAGGGCUAGAUUCACAGUUGUGCUCAUCUCUGGAGGCACAUUAGCAGCUCUGGGAACUGAAAACAACAAUAGCAAUGUUUAGGGCCACAUUCCAGACCAGAAUCUCUGAUAGGAAGGCUCAAGCAUCAUCCACAGGUGGAGACACACCAAAUGGAGACCCACUGGACCAGAAGGGGCCACCUUCAAGGAGUGACACUCUGGAGGAGGACAAAGGCCAAAGCAUGUGAUUCCUGCAGAACUCGUGGCCAUGCUUGGACCAGGCAAUGCAGAGCCCCCAAAAUAGUUUAAACUAGGGAAUAAUAUGGUCACAUUUCCAUUUUAGACAAAUUAUGUUAGCAAUGAUAGCAGGAGGUUUGGAAAGAGGAGGUAAGGAGAGCACGAAGACCUGUCAGAAGGCUUUGCAGUGGUCCAGGGGAGCAUUGGUGGAAUGGAAACGAAAGCAUUUCCCUAUUCCCCCUGCCCCACCUAGCCCCCAGCCCAUGGCAAUCAGUAAUCUACUGUGGAAAUGGGUGGCAAUGUUGUGGAUUUCAAAAACAUGCAAGUGAUAACACUGAUGGGACUUCAGACUCAUGAGAUUUGAGCAUUGAAAGGGAGGGAGGAGUCAAAGGUGAAGCCCAGUGGUUCUUGAUGCAGACCUAGAGAUUUGGUGGUGACAUUUACCAAGAUAAGAAGCCCAGAAAGAGACCCACGUGAGUUCUAUUCCAGACAUGUUGACAUCAAGGGAUCCAGGAGGAGGCUGGAUCUCUUCAGGUCUGGAACUUGGACAGGCAUGUUAGGCUGAGUUAUACUUUUGCAAGUUUCUUGAAAACAGAUUGAGAAAGAGGAGGAUCAUGGACAAAACCCCCAGAUACCCCUAAGGAUGCACAAACAAAGGAAGAAAACAGGAACAAAGGGUGACACACAGAAAACAAGAGCAGAGAGGAUUUCAAGAAACAAGGAGGCAUCAACAGUGUCAAAGGCAGCAGAGAACUUAAGUAAGAUAAGUGCUGAGGAGUGUCUGGUGGAUUUGGCGAUUUAGCAAAAGAGUUUUUCAAUGGAUCAGCAGGGAAAAGAAAGGAGAGAAGAGAGGGUUGAGGAACAACUGGGAGGUGAGCAUGCAUAGCUGGUAAAGAGCUAUAUUUGUAACAAUAAUAUGCCUAAUAUCCUCAUAAAGAUAUUUUUAUUAUAGUAACAUACACAAACAUAAAAUUUUCUAUUUUAGUCAUCUUAAAGUAUACACAUCGGUGAGCAAAGUACACUUACAGUGUCAUACAAUCAUCACCACUGUGCAGGCCCAGAACUAAAACAAACACCCCAAUAAAUGUCUAGUCCCAAAAAGUAAACUUAAUACC
rnacentral:lncRNA from 13 species